GAAAUGCGAUAAUUAAUGUGAAUUGCAGAAUUCAGUGAAUCAUCGAGUCUUUGAACGCACAUUGCACCCCCUGGUAUUCCGGGGGGUAUGCCUGUCCGAGCGUCAUUGCUGCCCUCAAGCCCGGCUUGUGUGUUGGGUCCUCGUCCCCCCCCGGGGGACGGGCCCGAAAGGCAGCGGCGGCACCGCGUCCGGUCCUCGAGCGUAUGGGGCUUUGUCACACCGCUCUCGUAGGCCCGGCCGGCGCUGGCCGACGCUGAAAAGCAACCAUUAUUUCUCCAGGUUGACCUCGGAUCAGGUAGGGAUACCCGCUGAACUUGAGC
rnacentral:misc_RNA from 1 species